rnacentral:lncRNA from 1 species
AGACCCUUUUAUCAAAUACGGUCUCUCUCUGACAGGGGCUGGGUUACUAGGACAUGGACCUAACUCUUGGGGGUAUCACCACUCACCCCACUCCACCAGCCCCCGCCUUUUCUGACAUUGCCCAUUUCCUGAAAGCUCACUCCCUGCCUAGCUCUGAGCCCAAGCCCCAGCGGAACCCCAUGAAGCAGAGGGGGAAACGGAGGCACAGGGAGUUCAGCCGAUGCCCAGGGGACCAAGUGGGGCCAAGGUUUGAACCUGGCUUUCCGAGUGGCCCCAACACAGUAGCCGCUGGGUAUUGGCCUCCCUCCAGUUUACAGGAAACAAGGGACUCUCACGCCCACGCCUCUCGGCCGAGGGCCAAACUGACAGUGAGUCACCCCCACUCCACAGGCCAAGAAGCUUGAAGCAGCUCAUCGAGGGGGACCAGACAAACGGUGGGGCCAGGGAGGGCUUCCUGGAGGCUCAGCUUGCUCCAGUGUCAACAGGGGAGCAAAUCCCACCUCCCGCUGCUCUCUCGGGAGGACUCAGCGAGACCCUGGAAGGAGGCAGCUUGGCACACAGGCCCCUGGCAAUCACCACCUCCCUGGUUAUUAGCAGGCCUGGCCCAGCCCACACAGCUGCCCACCCAGCCUCUGACCCCAGCCACAGAAAGGGCCCAUUAUGACAUCACAGGCCAGGAAUUAUGUUAUUAGCCUGGGAAGGAGGCUGGCCUCAGGAACAAAGGGCUCAUUGUCAUGCAAAUGAACGACUCCGGAGGAAGAGGGCAGUUCCUCCACUCUGGGGUGCCCCUCCUGCCCUCUAACUUCUAAGCCACACUGGAAACUGACCCCCAACCUUCAGAAGUGUGGGCAUCUCUGGGCCUCUGCUCUGGGCUAAAUGAGGCGCACUCUCUCAGCCUGGGAAACGGGCCCCUGCCAGUUCUGAGCCAGAUCCCCAGAAAACAGGACCCGCCUCGGAAGAUAGGGAUAGUAGAGGGACUUUUGGGGAUGAAACAGGAUGAUCCCCUUAACAUGCUAAGCAUGACCUUGAGCAAAGAAGCAACUGCCUUGGAAAUGCCAUUCAGUUGGUAAUACUGCAGGCCUGCAGCUGUGUGUCUUUGAGCAAGCUGCCUACCCUCUCUGUGCCUUAUCAGGAGAGGGUGACUCUGUGCCGACUUUACAAGGCUAUGGGAAGGACACAAUGAACUAAGACUCCAGUGAUCACAACCAGUCCAUGCUGAGCUGCCUCGUCACAAAGGCCCUGGUGCUGACUUCUGUUCUGAACCUCACCCAGGACUCUUCUCCACCGGGUUUCUACAAAACAUGAGAGCUCUCUGCAAAGAAGAAAAGAAAAAUGGACGGAACUCGAACUUAAAUCCAACCUUGUGGUUACAAUUACGGAGGCCCACCCAGGCCAGCACUGUGCGGGCCCCUUCAGGCUUCUCUCAGGCUCUCCCGAGACACACCGGCAGGCUGCAGUGCUACCACUGUGGUAAAGGACAAGGAAACUGAGGCUCUGUGGGAUUCCGGGACUUGCCCAAGGUCACACCAUCCUUGAGGGGUCGAGCCAGGACUGGAACCUCAGUCCGGCCACUACAACUUCAUAAAUACCAUCGCCCUGAGAUGCUGAAAUCCCAGGGGCCCCCCACCCUCAGACCAGGUGCCGGUAUUGUCAGCAUCGAGAAAACAAAGUGCCAGUGAAUUAUCAA